rnacentral:pre_miRNA from 1 species
ACAACAAUUAGACCGUCGGUCUACCGAUCAAUGUAACCCGCGCAGUAGAAGACCUUCCCUUCGUCGU